ACGGGAGGCAGCAGUGAGGAAUAUUGGUCAAUGGAGGCAACUCUGAACCAGCCAUCUCGCGUGAAGGAAUACGGCCCUACGGGUCUUAAACUUCUUUUAUAGGGGGAUAAAGUGAGAUAUGUAUAUCUUUUUGUAGGUACCCUAUGAAUAAGCAUCGGCUAACUCCGUGCCAGCAGCCGCGGUAAUACGGAGGAUGCGAGCGUUAUCCGGAUUUAUUGGGUUUAAAGGGUGCGUAGGCGGCCCCUUAAGUCGGCGGUGAAAUUUCCGGGCUCAACCCGGUCACUGCCGUCGAAACUGGGGGGCUUGAGUGCGUUUGGGGUGGCUGGAAUGUGCGGUGUAGCGGUGAAAUGCAUAGAUAUCGCACAGAACGCCGAUCGCGGAGGCAGGUCACCAAGCCGCAACUGACGCUGAGGCACGAAAGCGCGGGGAUCGAACAGGAUUAGAUACCCUGGUA
rnacentral:rRNA from 1 species